UCGGGAAUAUUGCGCAAUGGAGGAAACUCUGACGCAGUGACGCCGCGUAUAGGAAGAAGGUUUUCGGAUUGUAAACUAUUGUCGUUAGGGAAGAUACAAGACAGUACCUAAGGAGGAAGCUCCGGCUAACUACGUGCCAGCAGCCGCGGUAAUACGUAGGGAGCAAGCGUUAUCCGGAUUUAUUGGGUGUAAAGGGUGCGUAGACGGGACAACAAGUUAGUUGUGAAAUCCCUCGGCUCAACUGAGGAACUGCAACUAAAACUAUUGUUCUUGAGUGUUGGAGAGGAAAGUGGAAUUCCUAGUGUAGCGGUGAAAUGCGUAGAUAUUAGGAGGAACACCGGUGGCGAAGGCGACUUUCUGGACAAUAACUGACGUUGAGGCACGAAAGUGUGGGGAGCAAACAGGAUUAGAUACC
rnacentral:rRNA from 1 species